GAAGUAUCUGAAAGAUGUCACUUUACAGAAACAGUGUGUACCAUUCCGACGUUACAAUGGUGGAGUUGGCAGGUGUGCGCAGGUGAGAAUUCUUAGUUGCCAUUUGAAAAGACAGAUUUUAAUGGAAAAGUGAUGGGAUAGGAUAAGAAUGGCUAAGAUCUGUGCUGAUGAACCUAUUUCUGGUUGCUGUAAUGACAGGACACCGUGGAUUGAUGGUGAAAUAAACCAUAUCCUAAGAAACCUUGAUAUCAGAUAAAAUAAAUUCAUCUUGGCUGUAACGUUAAUUUAAAUCAAGGAAAAUGACUCAUCAUCUCCAUUUUCUUUCAGGCCAAGCAGUGGGGCUGGACACAAGGUCGGUGGCCCAAAAAGAGUGCUGAAUUUUUGCUGCACAUGCUUAAAAACGCAGAGAGUAAUGCUGAACUUAAGGGUUUAGAUGUAGAUUCUCUGGUCAUUGAGCAUAUCCAAGUGAACAAAGCACCUAAGAUGCGCCGCCGGACUUACAGAGCUCAUGGUCGGAUUAACCCAUACAUGAGCUCUCCCUGCCACAUUGAGAUGAUCCUUACGGAAAAGGAACAGAUUGUUCCUAAACCAGAAGAGGAGG
rnacentral:sRNA from 1 species